AUAACAAUAUCAACAGAGGUCAUGCUAGACCCUUUAGGGAAAAUAAAAAUGAAAGAAAAAAGUACAAAUAGGUCAUGCAAGAUCCUCAGAAAUCUAUGAUAACAAGAUGAAUCCUAAGGCCAACUGGGGGGAUCAUCAUCAUCAUCAUCGAGGUCAUGGUAGUGCCCUGGGUGAUACUCUGGGGACCCGUAUGACUGCUGCCCUGGUGGUCUUCGUCUGCUCCGCCACUAAAAUCUAUGGGUCCAUACUCUUCUUCUUCAGGGUCCUCCUCCAUCUCCUCUGUCAGUUCUCCCUUCUGCACUUCCAUCGGGUCCUUCUCUGAAUCUUCUCCUGGGUUCUCUUCAGGAUCUUCU
rnacentral:lncRNA from 1 species